rnacentral:rRNA from 1 species
UUCGGUGGCAAUAACGAGAAGGACCCACCCGUUCCCAUCCCGAACACGGCAGUUAAGCUUCUCGGUGCUGAAAAUACCGGGGCAUGGCGCCUCGGGAAGAUAGGUCGCUGCCGGAA